ACUUUCAUAAACUAAUAUAUUCAAGUUUUAUUUAUCAAAACUACCUGGUAAAGCGGAUUUAAAUAAAGCGCUUUUUUCACUCCUAAUAAUUAAGGCGACUAAUCAUUCCUUAAGAACAAGAACCAUCAACACACUGUUUGAUGCAGGUGUAACGGAAACUGACAUAAUUAAGAGGACCAUACACAGGAGCGCAGUCACGAGACAUAAGUGAUGAGACAUCAAAAUAAAUGAAAAUUCCUGGCACAAAAAGAUCAAAUAGGACCGGGUCCUUGCACGCUCAUCCUCUCAAUCUCCUCUCAAUAGUUAGUUGCACAAACUAAUCAUUGAGGUUAAGACCGAGUUGGUUUGUCUAUUUCUUGCUUCUCCAAUUAUCAAAUUAGAUUAUAGCGGUGCUUUAUUGAAAUAAUGAUUCCUGGAGGUCCAGUAUAAAUGUCUUGGGUCGCAGACUGACAUUAACCAUAUAAUCGGACCGGGUCCUUGCACGCUCAUCCUCUCAAUCUCACCUCUAAACUCAAUUUAAAGAUCUGCCAAAAAAUACGUUACUCAAUAAGUUGUUUGGAGUAUACAAACAACUUAUUGAGUAACUAAAAACCGGUUUUACACGUGCCCACAAGUAAGCAUCCAAUGAAAUAGAGGAAAUCUUUCACGUGACACGCAAGACUGAUCAUGCUAUAGGCCAUGUGGAUCGUCUCUGAUUGGUCAGCGUUACGGAAGAAAAUAUAAAAACGUGUUUUUAAAAUUGUUAAUUAAGUCCAAAUUUGGUUUUUUUGGUCGCAAAUUGUAGCCUUAUCUAUCUUGAUGUGCUGUACCAUAAGUAAGUUGUGGAACAGCUGUCGGAACUCGUGCCUUCGGCACUCGUUGCUCCAGCAGUUCCAUAACCUACCUAAUAUAACACAUAUAUAGGAUAUGGGAUAUAGGAUAGUUAGCAUAUUGUUAUUUAUAACUUAAUAAGGUGGUCAUAAUUUUAUCAAUUACUGUUCUCCGAAUGAGAUAGAAUCACACUCUUUCAAUGAAGGCAGAGUUAUAAUCAUAUUGGCGAUAGCGGAUUACAAAAUAGCAAACUAUAAGUAUAAUUUAUAAAUCUUGUAUAUUUUCAAUUUUGUAGUAGACAUGAUGGAGACAAGCCAUUUUCAGUUACUAAAGGUUGAAACAAUUAUCAAUUGAAAACUGAUGUUUUUAUAAAAUAUCUUGAAAAUAAGCAGUAAUUAGGUAUUUUACCAAACAAACUCAAAACUGUUUUGGUUCAAGAUUUAUUUUGCAGAGUUUACACAGUAUAAAAGCAUGUGCAUUGUGCUUCAUUAUAGUUUGUUGAUGAGGCGUAUUUUUAGCGUUAACCCUGGUGACUGAAGGUCUUAAAUCAUCCAUGUCUUUCGGUUAGGCCCAUAAUUAUCACUCCUGUUUUCUCUCCAAUGAGCUCCUCCCUCGACAAUCGAUAUCACGUGUUCCUUUCUGCCUCAGCUCGGUGAAUUGUCUCCUUCAUCUGGUUGAUAUUCGUUUUCUCGAACAUGAGAUAGUAAUUCCUGUGAUUGCUCUGGUCAUUUCUCGACAGUUGUUACCAGAAGGACUUUCAGCAUCAAUGUUCCUGAUAAGGCCUAUAUAUAAUUUAUCGUCUCUACACAGUACACUCUAUUUUCCACUUUAUGAGUUCCUUCUCUCCUUUUGUCAUGAUGAAAGCACACCACGUGACCUGUCCCGUAGCUUGUAGGCUGUGAAAUAGUUCAAUUAUUGUCUCGUGGACCAGGAUAUUUAUAUCGCCUUCACCCUAGCCACACCUGGCUAGUCGUAAAUAGGAUCGUAACAGACUUGAUCUGUUAUACUACAUAGAAUCGUAAAAAUCAAAUGUCAAAUUUUAUCUCAGAACCAUAAAUAAAAAAUGAUAAUGAGUAAAACACAUUGCUUAAAUUACUACGACAGUUAUCAUGGAUUAAUCUAGAUGUUCUGAUGCGGUUUCUUAAGACUUGAUUGCAACAUAAUACUAUGACAUAAUGACAUCGUUACAUCUGACACUGGAAACACGGAUCAUACUCGCCAAAGACAAUUUUUCAGUCGAGUAGAUAUACAAAAUAAGUUAUGAUGUUCAUCGAAGGGUGGAGGGGGGAUUUUCGGUAGUUUCGUGAAAAACUGCCAGGUAGCCAGGACUUUCUAUUUUUAUUAAUGGACAUGUUCAUUUGAAGUUGAGAUUAUUUGUACAUAUACAAAAAUAUUAACCAAGCAUGUUCAGAAGUUCUCAACACAGAAACUUUAUUGUUGUUAUGCACUAUAAUGUUACAACUACAAGUUUGCAUUUUUUUGAAUCUGUUAACUAUAGCUGCCUUUACUGGGCCGCGCUCAGCCUGUCAUUCCGCCUAAUCUCUAUUCGUUUAUGAAAAUGAUAGCCUGAGGUCCCCAGGUAGUAGCUGCCUAUAGUUAACUGUAUAGUAUUCCUUAUUCUGAAAUGUAGUAGGUUCUGGUUACUAAUUAGAUCAAUUUAACAAUCAUAAAACAUCAUUGGUUAAAGAGCAGGGAUUCGAGUUCGACGGUUAUAAGGCAAGAUUUGGUCAACUUUGUCGCACACUCUGAAUCUGAUACCUAUUUUCUACUGUGUCCUAAAAACUUUAUUAUAUCAGGCUCCACCUAUGAAUAGAAGAAUCGUCCAUCAGGAUGAUGAAUAAUUUUUCAGUGCCAGUAUUUUGACGGUUGCACUCGAUUUUAUCUUACCCAUUUAAUUAAAUUUGUUAACAUCGAAAGACAAAUGAACAGUUUAACGUACGGGAGUCAAGCGAACUAGGAUAAUCGAAUAGUUGUAUUUGUAAUUACUUGUUUAUAGUUCCUAAAUAUGAA